AGGAGUGGCGGGGUGGUCGCCCGCCAUAUUUCUGGCGGGAGGAAAGUCCGGACUCCAGCAGGGAGGGUGCCUCCUAACAGGAGGAGCCCGCAAGGGCUGGAAAGUGCCACAGAAAUUAUACCGUCCGCCAUUUUUUGGCGGAUAAGGGUGAAAUGGUGAGGUAAGAGCUCACCGUCCGUCUGGUAACAGGCGGAGCCAGGCAAACCCCACCUGGAGCAAGGUCAAGCAGGGUUAUGGGUUCCCUGCCCCUUUAAGCCCGGGUUGACCGCUUGAGCCUGCAGGUGACUGCAGGCCAAGAUGAAUGACCACCUUAAAACAGAAUCCGGCUUACCAGCCACUCCUCCAG
rnacentral:RNase_P_RNA from 1 species